ACACUUUAAACAACUCAACAUCCACUCAAAAUUUCUUAUAAAAGUCGUAUUUAAAAUUCCAACUUGUUCAAUAAUAGCGUGUUAUCUUUUUAAUAUGAUUUUCAUCACUCAAAUCUUAUAAAAUGGAUACUUUAGCCCAUGUUUUGGAGAUUCAUAAACAAUAACAAAUCGAGUUUUUGUCAACUACUCACUCCGACCACUUCUAUAAAUUACUCACUCAAUAAUUAACAUUCUAUUAGUUUUUUUGGUUUUUCACCAGAUUUUUAAUGCCCGUAUUAGGGCCCGAUGAAAUCCGAAUUCACACCAAAAAGUCAUUCAGACUCGAACUUGAGAUCUCUUGUAACAAGAAUGAAAGACAGUAAAGCUAGAAUUGUAAAAAAUUCCUUCUUAUUUUCUAAAACAUCAAACUAUUUAUGCAUCAGAAGGGGAAAUAGCUGGCCGUCUCAAAACUGCAUAUUAAUUUCUCUAUUGCAAAACAAAUGCCUUUUUUCUAAGGGCGCAUACUUUUCUCUACCUAUUACAAACAACAAAACAGUUGAAAUGGGCUCUACUUAUCAGCUCAGUUCAUCUCUCCAUGCAGUUCCUGGCUUACAAGCAGCAAGAGUGCCAGAUAGUGGAAGGACACAUUUUAUUUCUUAUGUUUUUACUAUCCUGCAUAAAUGAAAACGAUAAUCAGUUAAUUUAUGACCGUAAAAGUACCGAUAACUACAGAAGGAACGAAUAACAUUAGCAAAACUUCUUGAAUUCAAAUGCAAACAACAGUGUAAUCAUACAAGUAGGUCAGGAGAGGGUACGAUGUACGCAGACCUUACCCUUACCUUUGUCGGGGUAGAGAAAUUGUCUCCAAUAACCCCUCGCCUCAAUGCAAGCACAUCCUUUGAAUGCAUAUGAAUAAUUAACAAUAGUUGCCCCAUGAAAUUAUAUUAUGGUCCGCAGGGAAAUGGUUUAUUCAGGAAGGCAGGGCUAGAAUACAACUCCAAGCUGAGGUCUUUUUUUCCUUUCUAAUAUGACAGGGAAAAGAACAAAGGUUUAUCGACACCAAUUAUCCUAUAAAAACACAAUACAGAAAAGUAUGUCUAAAAAGGAAGUACCAGAACUUGCCUGCUCUUGCUUUCUUGAAGCCAGAGGCAAUUCUAAGAAGAUGUUACUGACUAAUUUCACAGACUGACUCUGUCCUUUGAAGAAUUUUUGUUCUUUUCUUGGAGUGGGUGAGGAUGGGGGAGGGAUGAUCCCUUUGGGAAGUUCGAUUUACAGUUAACUGAAACUAUCAACCACGAACUCCUAUAGGAAAAUAUCUUGCAUUAGACAUAUAAGCCCAAACUGAUUGUCCUUCCAUACCUUUGGUUCAUUAAAUACUGCUCACUCUGGAAAGAAAGGUUCCUCAUUCUAAAUAAUACUUUCCAAUCACAUAAGAUGAUAAAUGUACUAGACAAACCACUUCUAUAUAGUUCCAAGUUAAAUUUAUCAAAUCAUAACUUCAUGCAUAUUUAUCGAUCACUCAAUAUAGACAACUGUGUACAAUUCUAUCUCAGUUUCAUGCCUAGUGAAGUUAUAAAAUCUCUGUGGAGUUUAUCUACCUGAUGCAAAAGCUCAUAUGGUCAUUGUUUAUGUCAUUAACAUCUACAGGAUAUGUCACAGUUCAUAAUGAAGACAGAGAAUGCACAACCAACAUGUGCUAAGACUGACCAAAGACACAUGCCUUCUUAGUUUAAUACUCUAGUUUGUUUCGAGUAUUACAUCAUAUAGAAGGCUGCUUAGCUAACGACAGUGGGAAUGUCAGGGAUUUUAGGUGACAGAUAUAAGAUAUCCUUCCAUAAACCUCGUAUUAGACUGUAGACUACAAAACAAGGAGGAGCACCGUGCUUCCAAAGCGGAUUCUAGCAUCUUAUAUAGAAAGCUUAUGUCGAGAAUACAAUCAUUUAACAUUUGCCUAUCCAAAACCUCAAUCAGUUGACAGAAGAAUCUUGACGUCUCCACAGAGAGGUCAAAAGUAAAAUCCAUCCAGAGUAUCUGAACAAGCUUGUAAAGAAAUUGUAUGGUUCAAAGAUGCAGCCAAGGUGUAUAUAACAAUACCAGCGUUCUCUUCUCGAUUUACUACUAAACAAUCUUCAGUCAUUUUGUUAAAACAAGACAAGUUCCCUAUCGAUGUCACAUACUUAAUUAUCUCUCCCUACAUACUAGCAAUCACAUAGGGGCAACCUAUAACCAAAUAAAUAACGGGUAAAAAGGCAGCACAAGUUUAACUCCAAGAUGAAUAUGGCCAAAAUGCAAAGAAGAAAACUUGUAGAAUUUCACAUUCUUCAUUUACAACAAAUGAAUAACUCAACACCUUAAAGGGUACUUUGCAUCACCCUGAUCCAAAUUUCGGGCCACAGGCAAUAUACAUGAGGCUUAUCCAUCAAUUAAAAAAAAAUAGGAUUCUAGAUCAAAUUUACCUCCGUUUUAUAAUCUAUCAAAUAAUUUAGAUUACACAACGAAUAUCCCCUAGCAUUAAUUCAUUAGUUUAUAAAAUAAGCCACCAAAAUUAGAGUAUGAUAGAAUCGUGAAAUAAAGGCCCUUCGUAUAUCUUCAAACAAAGUGUUGCUUCAUAAUGGGAAAAGUAUAAUUGUACAAACAACAACAAUAAAAACAUGUCAAACCAAAACUAUUUGGAGUAAGCCACUCCUCAUUAAAGUCUAAAUCCUAAAUAAUUCACAAUAAUCAUUCAUAUAAAUAAUCCCACAAAAACACUGGUGAUUCUUCCCGUCUAUCCUAGCUUUGAUGGACAGAGUUUCGCGCGAAAGCUAGCUUGAACACUAGGAUACUAAAUCCCACAAAUUAAUAGAAACCUAUACUGAUGAUUCUGAAUUAGACUAAAUUCUGAAGCUAAAUUGAAGUAAAGGAAAGAACCUUUUGGAAGAAAAAUUGACAAAUCUUCAUACCUAAAUCCCAAGGGGUUUCAAGAAAGUUGCUUUGCAUUCUGAUAGAAAGCAGCAGAGCAUAAAAUUGAAGCAAUCAAAGCGAAAAUCCCCAACCCAAUCAUUAGGGAAAAUCCAGCUACCACCAAGUCCAUCAAACAUUGCAAGCUUAUUCCCAUCACCAACAUCUUCUUUUUUUCUCUCAAAAUAUCCUCAGCAAAACAAUGGGAAAUUCCUUUUGCUAUUUAUAGAUGGAUAAGAAUGGGUCUUUUGGCAUCCCGAGGCAGACCGCUUCUAGCUCAAACAAAGCAUGUGACGCAUAAUUGCAGAAAACGCAUCGGAAAGGUUGACAAAGGAUUAGCAAUUUACCAUUCUCAUCUUCGCUAUUAAUUUACGUGACAUUUUUUUAUUGAAAUAAAUAUAAAAUUAUAAAGGAAAAUACCAAUUCACAGACGAUGAAAAGAAGUCCUCAAAUCCUAAGUACACUAAGUGGGAUAAUUUUACUCAAAUAAUGUAAUAAGUGUAACACGA
rnacentral:lncRNA from 1 species